CAUGCNAGCCGAGCGGUAGAGUCUCUUCGGAGACUUGAGAGCGGCGCACGGGUGCGGAACACGUGUGCAACCUGCCUUUAUCUGGGGGAUAGCCUUUCGAAAGGAAGAUUAAUACCCCAUAAUAUAAGAAACGGCAUCGUUUUUUAUUGAAAACUCCGGUGGAUAGAGAUGGGCACGCGCAAGAUUAGAUAGUUGGUGAGGUAACGGCUCACCAAGUCGACGAUCUUUAGGGGGCCUGAGAGGGUGAUCCCCCACACUGGUACUGAGACACGGACCAGACUCCUACGGGAGGCAGCAGUGAGGAAUAUUGGACAAUGGGUGAGAGCCUGAUCCAGCCAUCCCGCGUGAAGGACGACGGCCCUAUGGGUUGUAAACUUCUUUUGUAUAGGGAUAAACCUACNCUCGUGAGGGUAGCUGAAGGUACUAUACGAAUAAGCACCGGCUAACUCCGUGCCAGCAGCCGCGGUAAUACGGAGGGUGCAAGCGUUAUCCGGAUUUAUUGGGUUUAAAGGGUCCGUAGGCGGAUCUGUAAGUCAGUGGUGAAAUCUCACAGCUUAACUGUGAAACUGCCAUUGAUACUGCAGGUCUUGAGUGUUGUUGAAGUAGCUGGAAUAAGUAGUGUAGCGGUGAAAUGCAUAGAUAUUACUUAGAACACCAAUUGCGAAGGCAGGUUACUAAGCAACAACUGACGCUGAUGGACGAAAGCGUGGGGAGCGAACAGGAUUAGAUACCCUGGUAGUCCACGCCGUAAACGAUGCUAACUCGUUUUUGGGAUUUCGGUUUCAGAGACUAAGCGAAAGUGAUAAGUUAGCCACCUGGGGAGUACGAACGCAAGUUUGAAACUCAAAGGAAUUGACGGGGGCCCGCACAAGCGGUGGAUUAUGUGGUUUAAUUCGAUGAUACGCGAGGAACCUUACCAAGGCUUAAAUGGGAAAUGACAUGCUUAGAAAUAGGCUUUUCUUCGGACAUUUUUCAAGGUGCUGCAUGGUUGUCGUCAGCUCGUGCCGUGAGGUGUUAGGUUAAGUCCUGCAACGAGCGCAACCCCUGUCACUAGUUGCCAUCAUUAAGUUGGGGACUCUAGUGAGACUGCCUACGCAAGUAGAGAGGAAGGUGGGGAUGACGUCAAAUCAUCACGGCCCUUACGCCUUGGGCCACACACGUAAUACAAUGGCCGGUACAGAGGGCAGCUACACAGCGAUGUGAUGCAAAUCUCGAAAGCCGGUCUCAGUUCGGAUUGGAGUCUGCAACUCGACUCUAUGAAGCUGGAAUCGCUAGUAAUCGCGCAUCAGCCAUGGCGCGGUGAAUACGUUCCCGGGCCUUGUACACACCGCCCGUCAAGCCAUGGAAGUCUGGGGUACCUGAAGUCGGUGACCGUAACAGGAGCUGCCUAG
rnacentral:rRNA from 1 species